UACGAGUGCCCCCGAGCGUUAUCCGGAAUCAUUGGGCGUAAAGGGUGUGUAGGUGGCAGUGUUAGUCACACGUUAAAGCCUGGGGCUCAACCCCAGAUCUGCGUAUGAUACGGCACAGCUAGAGGAUGCGAGGGAUGUAUGGAACUCAUGGAGUAGGGGUGAAAUCCGUUGAUAUCAUGGGGAACACCAAAAGCGAAAGCAGUACAUUGGCGCACUCCUGACACUGAAACACGAAAGCGUGGGUAGCGAAUGGG
rnacentral:rRNA from 1 species